rnacentral:rRNA from 1 species
UACGUCGGCAGCGAGCGUUGUUCGGAGUUACUGGGCGUAAAGAGUGCGUAGGCGGUUUUCUAAGUUUGGUGUGAAAUCUCCCGGCUUAACUGGGAGGGUGCGCCGAAGACUGGAAGGCUUGAGUAUGGGAGAGGUAAGCGGAAUUCCUGGUGUAGCGGUGAAAUGCGUAGAUAUCAGGAGGAACACCUGCGGUGUAGACGGCUUACUGGACCAUAACUGACGCUGAGGCACGAAAGCGUGGGUAGCAAACAGG